ensembl:lncRNA
CAGGUGUGUUAAUCUCCUCUAUAGUUGAGUCAGGUGUGUUAAUCUCCUCUAUAGGUGAGUCAGGUGUGUUAAUCUAGUCCUCUAUAGGUGAGUCAGGUGUGUUAAUCUCCUCUAUAGGUGAGUCAGGUGUGUUAAUCUAGUCCUCUAUAGGUGAGUCGGGUGUGUUAAUCUCCUCCUCUAUAGGUGAGUCAGAUGUGUUAAUCUAUUCCUCUAUAGGUGAGUCAAGUGUGUUAAUCUCCUCUAUAGGUGAGUCAGGUGUGUUAAUCUCCUCUAUAGGUGAGUCAGGUGUGUUAAUCUCCUCUAUAGGUGAGUCAGGUGUGUUAAUCUCCUCUAUAGGUGAGUCAGGUGUGUUAAUCUCCUCUAUAGGUGAGUCAGGUGUGUUAAUCUCCUCUAUAGGUGAGUCAGGUGUGUUAAUCUAGUUCUCUAUAGGUGAGUCAGGUGUGUUAAUGUCCUCUAUAGGUGAGUCAGGUGUGUUAAUGUCCUCUAUAGGUGAGUCAGAUGUGUUAAUCUCCUCUAUAGGUGAGUCAGGUGUGUUAAUCUCCUCUAUAGUUGAGUCAGGUGUGUUAAUCUCCUCUAUAGGUGAGUCAGGUGUGUUAAUCUAGUCCUCUAUAGGUGAGUCAGGUGUGUUAAUCUCCUCUAUAGGUGAGUCAGGUGUGUUAAUCUAGUCCUCUAUAGGUGAGUCAGGUGUGUUAAUCUCCUCCUCUAUAGGUGAGUCAGAUGUGUUAAUCUAUUACUCUAUAGGUGAGUCAAGUGUGUUAAUCUCCUCUAUAGGUGAGUCAGGUGUGUUAAUCUCCUCUAUAGGUGAGUCAGGUGUGUUAAUCUCCUCUAUAGGUGAGUCAGGUGUGUUAAUCUAUUCCUCUAUAGGUGAGUCAGGUGUGUUAAUCUAUUCCUCUAUAGGUGAGUCAGGUGUGUUAAUCUCCUCUAUAAGUGUG